AGGGAUGGGUCUGUGGCCUACAGAGGCAGGUGUUUCUCAGUUGGAGCACAGAGGAGUUCUUGGCACCAGCACUGGGCCAGCUGUGAGUUUAUCUGUGGUAUCUGGCUUUCAAAGUAGUGUUCCCUGCAGUCUGCCUAAAAGAAAGAGAUGAUCAAGAUGAACGAAGAGAAACUUGAAGAACAUAGAAAAACCAGAAGUUCUCCAAACUUGAAAGAGGCAGAAAUUGAAAAAGAGGAGGAAUGAAAAACCCAAAGACCGUAUUCAGGACUUCCAUGCAAGCAAAGGAUGUGCUACACAGACAGCAACUGAAGAGAUCAAGCCUGGAACUUUUUAUCACAAAUACAUAAUAUAAUCCUUGAAGAUUGAAGAGGGGGAAUUAUUAUUAUUUUUUGCUCCUAAGUAACAAGAAUUCCAUAAAGUGUAUCAGCCAUCUGUGGAAUAUAUGAAUCAAUAUUCACAAAAAAGACACAGGGUAUACAAUCAUAAAUAGAUUUAUCAAUGACAGCCCCACUUUAGGAGAGCCUAAGAUUGAUAUCCCAUGUAAUGUCAGUUCUUUAAUCUCUAUAUGAUUUGAUGUCAUCACUUACAGCUAAAUUAAUAAACUAACAAUUAGUGACAAUAA
rnacentral:lncRNA from 1 species